GACGAACGCUGGCGGCGUGCCUAACACAUGCAGGUCGUACGGUAAGGUCCGUUCGGGGGUACACGGGUGGCGAACGGGGGGGUAACACGCGAGUAACCUGCCCAUAACUUCGGGAUAACGCUAGGAAACCGGUGCUAAUACUGGAUAUGUGCUCCUGCUGCCUGGUGGGGGGUGGAAAGCUCCGGUGGUUGUGGAUGGACUCGCGGCCCUGCAGCGUGGUGGAGGGGUAGUGGCCCACCCAGGCGGCGGCGGGUAGCCGGCGUGGGAGGGUGACCGGCCACAUUGGGACUGAGACACGGCCUAGACUCCUACGGGAGGGAGCAGUGGGGAAGAUUGCACAAGGGGCGCGAGCCUGAUGCAGCAACGCCGCGUGCGGGAGGACGACCAUGGGGUUGUAAUCCGCAUUCAGCAGGGACGGAGCUUUUUGUGACGGUACCUGCAGAAUAAGCACCGGCUAACUCCGUG
rnacentral:rRNA from 1 species